UUCAGUUCUCUGCUUCGGGUCAUCAUGAUGAAGUUGUCGUCCUUCCUUGGGGAUCUUCAUCGUACUUACGGAAAGGAUAAGGGGUAGCUUCAAAAGGACAGACCUCUACAAGGUUGACUAUCUGGUCGAUAACAUCGAGGAAGGUGGCGGAAGUUACUCUCGAAUUGAAUUUUAAGAAAAUAUCGAGAGCAAAGUAAGGAGGUACCAUGAGAAGUUUCAAACGGAUAGGCAAGUGUUCGAUGCCUAAUCAGAAGGUGAAAGGGGUUCAGGGCAAUGAGAAUAAGUAUUGCGUAUGAUACCAAAAUAGAUCACUUGGGACGGUGGUCCGUGAAUUACAUACGAGUCCACGCGCGAGGAAUAACUUUGGGAACAGGGGGUGUACAGGAGAGUCAGGUUUCGAUCCUGUGGAACUGUGGGUCAUGGGGCCACCAUGUGGAUUAACAGUAGGAAGGGCGGUGACGUCUUGUACGACCAUGUAAGCAUGGCAUGUCAAAGGAUAGUCUAUCGGUUAUGUCGGCAACAACGUCGGUACCAAGGGCGAGGGACGAAGAGAACCAUUUUCCUGCUCGUCGAACGAGGCGGACCAAUAGGCAAAGUUCUCGUCCAUCGGUGGCUACCGGAAUGUCAUCAACAAUAGUAACAGGGUCUUGCUGACAGGAUUGUACACCGAGAUGUUUACACAAGCAGGAGAAUAUUACUGCUUAGAUCAUAUAGAUCACAAGCAACAUUAAACCAACCAAUGGAAAGGACAAUAUGAUUAUCAUAUUAAACAGAACAAUGGAAAGGAAAAUGUGUUAAAACACAUAUUUCAAGGUUAUAUCCUUCCCAAGGACAAGGAGAGCAUGAUAUCCAUGUCAGGAUAUAAUGUAGAAAACUCUUUAGGUAGGGGGGAGAAUUUUCAUGACAUUACCCAUACAGCGGUGUUUGGAUAAUUGAGCAGGAAACAUUUAGCAUUGGGCUUCAAAUGUUCCUGUGGAAAAUCGAAGUGCCAUAGACAUGCUUCGAGAUAGCAUUGACAUGGUCAACAGGUGAAGAUCAGACUUUGGAAACAAAAAGGACCCAUCAGGAACAACAUAUAGAAUAAGUCUUUCAAUUUCCUCCAGGAAGAAUGGUUAUCCUUGCAAAAGAUAUUAUAAUGAUAGGUCCUCCAGCCAGGGGUGCUAGCCAUGACAUCAUAUUACUGGGUCGUCAAGGGACCAACAACAUAACUCCUGGAAAGUUGUCCCAACCAUCAUAUCUGACCGAGAUUCAGAUCAGAUUAGUGUCAUAAUACCUCAGACUCGGGAUGUCCGAGAAGAAAAGGUGCAACACAAAUCGAUGAAAUGGCAUUGCACGAUUCUUGGGAAAUGAACUAUGGAAGCGGGUUCCUAAAACAAUAGUUCAUCAUUAAGCCAAGGAGAGGAGGAGGUGGUUGAUGGGCUCAACGACAAUUCAUCAAGAAUUCCAAACGGAUGGAUUUCCACAAUAAUGUGAACAAGAUGACACUUGUCAAUUCAAAUGAUAUAAUGUUGUAUGCUUGAAGAAAACAUACACCAUCAAUAACUAGUUGAAAGGUGUGCCCGAAAUAUGACCUUAGGCAGCAAGAUCAAUGUUAGAGUGAUGAUUCAAUAACCAACAGUCUAAGAACGAACUGUCGAUCGUUGACUUUAAAGCAAUAGGGUUGCUAGAAGUACAGAACCCAAGCAGCACCGUUCAUUUGUUAGUAUUCUGAUUAGAAUCAACAUUAGGACGUAGAAAGAAUGGUGAUGGUGAGAAAUAUCACUAUACCAAGAAAUUUUAAGAGGCGGAGCAAUUCUCACAACCUUCUUGACAUAAAAGAUGGAAAAACUCCAAGGUGAAGAAGAACAAAUGCUGGAUAGCAAGGAACUCAAGAUUCAAUCCAAAACAUGAACACGUUUGUGUUGAGAGAAGGCAAGGAUGUGGUCGAUUAUAAAACAAUCAUCGAGGGGCAAGGAUGGUAUUUCCCAUCAUGAAUUUGAUUGAUAUCCUGGAAGGAGUUAAAAUGUUGAUGAUGAUCACGAAAAAUUUUGUCGAGAGGCUCCAUGAAGAUGCAAUCGCUCGGCGACGGCAUCAAGCCAAGGGGAUGGUGAAGCAAAAGGCUAUUAUAACCGUAGAUAAGAUGUCAUCUCAGAAUUCAGAGUUGUCUCUCAAGACAAACAAUAUGAUGGUGAAAGUUCAAUGUAAGCUUAGAGCAGUGUCGGGAUUGUGUCCCGAGGAUGAAGGACAUAGGUAGAAUGGUCAAGCAGUCAACCUGACAAUGAUGAUGUAGUCAAUCAGCUGGGAGUGAGACGAUCGAGUAAAGACUCGUAAGCAAUGAAGAUUACUAACAGUUGUUGAAUCACGGUGCGGACUCUGUUCAGUUAUCGGUGUCUUUGAGUGUUUAAUAACUCGAAUCCCAUACAAAAUUGGAAUCCGUGAGAAUGUAGUACUUGAUGAAGAACUCGUAAGAAGUUAUGCAGUUCCAUGAUAAUCUCGAGAUACCAGAGUGUAAUACUCAACAGUAGAUCAAAGUCAAGGUUGGACUGGGGUAUUGACCCACAGAAGACAAAUGCUUAAACUUGCCCGGGAAAUGGGAUCAAAGGAAAACAAUAUGGUCAGAACCAUAGUUGCAAGGGAUCCAAUUUAACGUCACCGAAAUAAUUAACCAAAUGAUUAAAUAUUUUGCAAGAAGCUUCCAUGAUAAGUUCCACACCGGGUCCAUGGGCAUGAACACAAAGUUCAAGGUCGACUCCCACUUCUUUAAUGCAUGACCUUUCAUUCACUUCUCGUCUUCAAAGAAGUUGUAUGGUAGAAAAUUAUCUAGUAAAACACCAGAAGGGUAUGACUUAUGAAACCCUUGAGUUCAUACGGUUUUUGGGAAGGUAUAGCUUCAACCCAUUGGGGCAUCUUGGAAACAUAUACCACAAAUUUCAAGAGUAAUUGUCACCAGCUCAAAAGCAGAGCAUGGUUUGGCCAAAUCAGAGAAUAGGAUUUACCAAUGGAAUUAUGUAUCAUUGAAAGAACUUCUCAAGGUUUUGUAUACAAAGGACAUUGUCGGGUGAUAAUUCAACAAAGGAUCCGACGGUCCAUAAUGGAGCUGAUGUGAGCACCGGCACACAAUCAGAGGAAGAAACAAUACAAAUGUAUUGGAUUAUAGAAACAACUGACUAAUUCAAAGCUCAAUGUAAAGAAUCAUGAUUUCUGAUUCAAGGGAUCAGAAGAAAACGCUCUGAUUAAGGAUGGGUAAACUGAAUAGACUUAGGGGUACAACCUACGGCAAUUGAUUGGUCGAGAACCAGCUCAUGUUCAAAAAAUGACGUCUGAGCCGGAAGGAUAAUCCUAGGAUUCGACUGAUGAUGGUGAACAUUCGCAGCAUAUUGAAUCAACGGACUCAAAAUGAUAGUGACAAGGGAUGCCAAUAAGAUUACUAGACUUAUGGGAUUAACCAUAAUGUAAGCAGGCAAGAAUUUCAAGAGCAAUAGGCUCCUGAGAAUUUUCGGAAGAUCAAAUGGUAUUUCAAAGAUUGGUGACAUACAUGAAUCAACUGGGAUGAGUGGAUACUCGGUAAGUGCGGGUAUUAUCCGUAGGGGUAUUCAGGUGACAAAGAACAGCAAGGCACUAAGCUCAAAGGAUUCUCGGAACAACAGAGAGAAUUUUGGGGUAUCUUGCAGUAACAAGAUCAACUGGGAAACAUUGUAUGAAUGGAGAGUAUACGUGGUUAUCCAUAGGAUCGAUGGAAGGGAAUUGCAAAAGCGAUGUCACAAAGUAUCGAAGGAACAUCGGAGAGUAACUUCGGAAUAUUCUAGUGCAUCAGGCGAUCACCUGUAUCGAGUGGCUCUCCGGGAGGAAGUAGUUACGAGAACCUAGAGUUAGAUUUAGUAAAAUCAUAUAACCUGAAUAGAAGAGAGAUCAGAGCCCCAGAGUAUAGACGAGGAGUAAAAGAUCCUAAUACCACCCAAUGGCGACGUGGGCCCAUGGGCUGCACAGCCAUGUUAGUAAAACAGUUUUCAUCGACUAGACUCAACUUCCGCCAAAGAGUGUGGAAGGGGGAUUCCUACAGGCAGUCGGCUCUGAUACCAACUUGUGACGCCCCCGAUUCAAUCGUACACUAAUCAUGCACGCAAACGUGUACGAUCAAGAUCAGGGACUCACAGGAAGAUAUCACAACACAACUCUAAAAACAUAAAUAUGUCAUACAAGCAACAUAUUACAAGCCAGGGGCCUCGAGGGCUCGAAUACAAGUGCUCGAUCAUAGACGAGUCAGCGGAAGCAACAAUAUCUGAGUAUAGACAUAAGUUAAACAAGUUUGCCUUAAGAAGGCUAGCACAAACUGGGAUACAGAUCGAAAGAGGCGCAGGCCUCCUGCCUUGGAUCCUCCUAAACUACUCAUGGUCGUCGUCAGUAGCCUGCAUGUAGUAGUAGGCACCUCCAGUGUAGUAGUCGUCGUCGACGGUGGCGUCUGGCUCCAGGGCUCCAGCAUCUGGUUGCGACAACCAGGUAGAAGGGAAAGGGGAAAAGAGGGAGAAAAGCAACCGUGAGUACUCAUCCAAAAUACUCGCAAGCAAGGAGCUACACUACAUAUGCAUGGGUAUAUGUGUAAAGGGCCAUAUCGGUGGACGGAACUACAGAAUGCCAGAAUAAGAGGGGGAUAGCUAAUCCUGUCGAAGACUACACUUCUGACAGCCUCCGUCUUGCAGCAUGUAGAAGAGAGUAGACUGAAGUCCUCCAAGUAGCAUCGCAUAGCAUAAUCCUACCCGGCGAUCCUCCCCUCGUCGCCCUGUGGAAAAGGAAUCACCGGGUUGUCUGUGGAACUUGACUGGGUGUGUUUUAUUAAGUAUCCGGUUCUAGUUGUCAUAAGGUCAAGGUACAACUCCGGGUCGUCCUUUUACAGAGGGACACGGCUAUUCGAAUAGAUAAACUUCCCUGCAGGGGUGCACCACAUAACCCAACACGCUCGAUCCCAUUUGGCCGGACACACUUUCCUGGGUCAUGCCCGGCCUCGGAAGAUCAACACGUCGCAGCCCCACCUAGGCACAACAAAGAGGUCAACACGUCGGUCUAAAUCCUAUGCGCGCAGGGGUCUGGGCCCAUCGCCCAUUGCACACCUGCACGUUGCGGGGGCGGCCGGAAGCAGACCUAGCAACCUCCAUUACAAAGGAAGUCACGUUACGCGGUCCAAUCCGGCGCGCGCCGCUCCGUCGCUGACGUCAAGAAGGCUUCAGCUGAUACCACGACGUCGAGUGCCCAUAUCUUUCCCGCAUAGUUGGUUAGUGCAUAUAGUCUAGUGGCCAGACUCAGAUCAAAUACCAAGAUCUCAUUAAGCAUGUUAUUUUGAAGUAACCGCGGACGCCGACCAGGGCCAGGCCCACCUCGCUCCUAGGUGGUCUCAACCUGCCCUGCCGCUCCCCCUCAAAGUAACAGUCGGGGGCCGUCGGGAACCCAGGCCCACCUCUACCGGGAUGGAGCCACCUGUCCUUCCAGCCCCCACAUCGGAAUCACUUGCGGGUACUCAACGAGCUGACCCGACUUUAGUCCUCAUCUGUAUAGUAUGUAUAUAUAUAGUAUAUACCUGUGAUCACCUCCCAAGUGAUCACGGCCCGAUAGUAUAGCAAGGCAGACUGACAAGAAUGUAGGGCCAAUGAUGAUAAACUAGCAUCCUAUACUAAGCAUUUAGGAUUGCGCGUAAGGUAUCAAUGACUGUAGCAACAAUGGCAGGCUAUGCAACAGAAUAGGAGUAACCGAACAGUAACAUGCUAUACUACUCUAAUGCAAGCAGUAUAGAGAAGAAUAGGAGAUAUCUGGUGAUCAAGGGGGGGGGCUUGCCUGGUUGCUCUGGCAAGGAGGGGUCAUCUUCGGUGUAGUCGAAAACACGGACAUUGGCACCGGUCUCAGAGUCUACCGGAAAGAAGUAACAAAGGGGGAACACAAUAAAUAAUAGAGCAAUCAAAUGUAACACAAAGCAAGACGCGACAAUAUGCGGUGCUAGGGGUGACCUAACAUAGUGGUAGGUGAUAUCGGCGAAGGGGGGAAAACAUCCGGGAAAGUAUCCCCGGUGUUUCACGUUUUCGGACAGAUGAACCGGAGGGGGAAAGUUGCGAGUUUGCUAUGCUAGGGAUGUGUGGCGGACGAACGGGCUGCGUAUCCGGAUUUGUCUCGUCGUUCUGAGCAACUUUCAUGUACAAAGUUUUUUCAUCCGAGCUAUGGUUUAUUUUAUAUUAAUUUUAAAAGAUUUAAUCAUUUUUAGAAUUUAUUUAACUAUUCUAAAUCAACAUUAUCUAGAAUAAUGUAUGCUGACAUCAGCAUGACAUCAGCAGCCAACAGGGUGUUGACUGGUCAAACUGAUGUGCGGGUCGAGUGGGACCCACCUGUCAUACUCUGUUUUGUUUUAUUAUGAUUUAACUAAUCUAAUUAAUGUUUAAUUAACCUAACAAGUUAAUUAGAUUGAUUAAACAGGAUUAAUUAAUUUACUAAUUAAUUGAUUAUUUUAUUAAUUUAUUUUUAUUUUUCCUUCCUUUUUCUUUUACGUUCUGUGGUGGGGCCCCCUUGUCAUAGGGCCAGGGGGCAUAGCGGGUGUGGGCUAAUGGGUUAACGGGCGGGGCUCGGAUGGGCACCCGAGCGGCCGUUGCGGUCAGCGGGAGAAGGGGGCGGGCGCGCGGCGCGGCGCCGGCGGACGCAGAGGCGGGGUGCACGGGAAGGCGAGCACGGAUGGAUGGGCGAGGCACGACGGCAGUGGCCGUAGGCCACGGUGGCGCAGCGCCCGCAGCGUUAGCCAUCACAGAAGAGCAGCACGAGGGGGAGCACGGGGCCAACAGCGGCAGUGUAGCAAUGGUGCAGGGGGCGACCGUCGUGAUCGGUGUAGGGAGGCAGCGCACGGCGAGGUUGACUCGAGCGCGGGGGGGCUCGGCGCAGAGGGAACGCGGGGCACGGUGAGCGCGUGCUCACCGCGGGCGCGCGUGUGGGGUCGUCUACCGUGCGGUGACCGCGAGCGAGGCGGGAGGCAGAGAAGGGGAGAGGCCCAGGGCCUCACCAGCGUUGAUGGGGAGAGGGGGCGCCGAGGCUUGCUGGCAGCCGGCGGGGAAGAGGCCGAGGACGCGAGGUCUGAUGAGGAGGGGGUCGAGGUGGCGUCCGACGCGCGGCAGGGCGUGGCGACGCCGGCGAAGACGGUGGGGCGGCUCCGGCGAGGUGGCAUCACGGGGGAGGACGGACGCGCGGCGGGGCGGCAACGGGCGACGGGGCCAGGGCGCACUAGGGUCGCGCAGGGCGGGCGAUGGGUGGAUCCUUGAUCCAGAUCGGGGGGGAAGUGGGAGGACGAAGGGAUAAAGAUAGGGUUUGGUGUGGAUCGGGGGAUUAAGGGGAGUGGGGUGAUGCCGGAUGGGCCAGGUGGGCCGGCCUGGUGGGGCUGUGGCCUGCUGGGGCGGAGCCUAGUGGGGGGGUUGCUUUCUCUUUCUUUUUUUAGCUUUGUUUUCUGUUUUAUUCUUUUCCUUUUUCUUUAUUUUCUUUUCUGUUUUUGCUAAUUGUUUGGGCACCAAAUGAGUUUGGUAAAAUAUGAGAGCUGGACCACAAAUCACAGCACAAUAUAUCCUACCACCAAAAACUAGUUUGGGGUAAAUAUCAUUUCAUAUUUAUUUUGUAUUAAUAAAAAGGUUAUUAAAUAAUGUUUUCAGCCACUAUUUGAGGUUGUUUAAGUCACUUAUCAAAUUUUAAUAAUGUUGUUUACAAUUUUAUCAUAGACUCUGACUUAUCUAAUAUUUAUUGAACAUUUUAGUUUUAAUAUUUGAAAACUUUUAAUGUUUGCUUGAUCUUGAAUUUGUAUUUGAAUCGGUUUCGAACUAACGCGAGGUUAGCAACAGUAACGGAGGUGAUGUGGCAUCGUUAAUGUGGGAUUACUGUAGCUUAAUUAUCCGGGUGUCACAAUUCUCCUCCACUACAAGAAAUCUCGUCCUGAGAUUUAAUAGGGGGACUAGGGGGAAAGGUCUGGUUACGAAAUCCUAACGAAUCUUCUCAUCUUUGGUUGCUCUUAUCGAAGAGGUCGAUCCAUUACAUUGAUGUCUUCAGUUCUCUGCUUCGGGUCAUCAUGAUGAAGUUGUCGUCCUUCCUUGGGGAUCUUCAUCGUACUUACGGAAAGGAUAAGGGGUAGCUUCAAAAGGACAGACCUCUACAAGGUUGACUAUCAGGUCGAUAACAUCGAGGAAGGUGGCGGAAGUUACUCUCGAAUUGAAUCUUAAGAAAAUAUUGAGAGCAAAGUAAGGAGGUACCAUGAGAAGUUUCAAACGGAUAGACAAGUGUUCGAUGCCUAAUCAGAAGGUGAAAGGGGUUCAGGGCAACGAGAAUAAGUAUUGCGUCUGAUACCAAAAUAGAUCACUUGGGACGGUGGUCCGUGAAUUACAUACGAGUCCACGCGCGAGGAAUAACUUUGGGAACAGGGGGUGUACAGGAGAGUCAGGUUUCGAUCCUGUGGAACUGUGGGUUAUGGG
rnacentral:lncRNA from 1 species